rnacentral:rRNA from 1 species
AAUAUUGCGCAAUGGGGGAAACCCUGACGCAGCAACGCCGCGUUAAGGAUGAAGGUCUUCGGAUUGUAAACUUUUGUCUUUGGUGAGGAUAAUGACGGUAGCCAAGGAGGAAGCCACGGCUAAAUACGUGCCAGCAGCCGCGGUAAUACGUAGGUGGCAAGCGUUGUCCGGAUUUACUGGGUGUAAAGGGCGUGUAGACGGCCCCGAAAGUCAGAUGUGAAAUACCGCAGCUUAACUGCGGGGCUGCAUUUGAAACUUCGGGUCUUGAGUGUGGGAGAGGAAAGCGGAAUUCCUAGUGUAGCGGUGAAAUGCGUAGAUAUUAGGAGGAACACCAGUGGCGAAGGCGGCUUUCUGGACCAUAACUGACGUUGAGGCGCGAAAGCGUGGGUAGCAAACAG